AACGAACGCUGGCGGCAUGCCUAACACAUGCAAGUCGAACGGGAUCCUGGCUUCGGCCAGGUGAGAGUGGCGGACGGGUGAGUAACGCGUGGGAACCUGCCCAUUGGUCUGGGAUAACUGCGGGAAACUGCAGCUAAUACCGGAUGUACCCGAGAGGGGAAAGAUUUAUCGCCGAUGGAGGGGCCCGCGUCAGAUUAGGUAGUUGGUGAGGUAACGGCUCACCAAGCCUACGAUCUGUAGCUGGUCUGAGAGGAUGAUCAGCCACACUGGGACUGAGAUACGGCCCAGACUCCUACGGGAGGCAGCAGUGGGGAAUAUUGGACAAUGGGCGCAAGCCUGAUCCAGCCAUGCCGCGUGAGUGAUGAAGGCCCUAGGGUUGUAAAGCUCUUUUGUGCGGGAAGAUAAUGACGGUACCGCAAGAAUAAGCCCCGGCUAACUUCGUGCCAGCAGCCGCGGUAAU
rnacentral:rRNA from 1 species